GACGUAGGGACCGAGCGUUGUCCGGAAUCAUUGGGCGUAAAGGGCGCGUAGGCGGAAUGGCAAGUCGGUCGUGAAAUCCUUCGGCUCAACCGAAGAACGUCGAUCGAAACUGCCGUUCUUGAGGAUUGCAGAGGAGACUGGAAUUCCCGGUGUAGCGGUGAAAUGUGUAGAGAUCGGGAGGAACACCGGUGGCGAAGGCGGGUCUCUGGGCAAUUCCUGACGCUGAGGCGCGAAAGCGUGGGGAGCAAACGGG
rnacentral:rRNA from 1 species